UUUUUCAACUUGUUGCCAAGU
rnacentral:piRNA from 1 species